AGAAAACCACAAAGAGCUGUUCCAUUGUGUACUUCUGCUAGCCCGUUCUUCUCCGGAUGAACUGCUAGCAUUUCUACACGAGCAGCUGGAGAUUGAGCAUGAGGCUGUUCGUGUGGCGUCUUUAGAUCUUCUGAGAGCUAUUGUUGGUGCUGACUUGCCUGAGACAAGAGUUAAAAAGCUUCUGAUUGUGACGGCAGUGAAAUCCACUCUCAGUGAUCAGAAUGCUA